rnacentral:lncRNA from 1 species
CUAUUAAAUACAACAUUCCCUCCCUCUCACCCCAGCCUUAGAAAACCUAAAGCCUCCAUCAGUUUCCAUUGUCCACUAAAUUACUAUUACCUGAUUUCAGGUCAUUUUUUGAUACCAGGUUUUGAUGGAAACAGAAUAAAAGCAUAUGAGGGAUGCGAUAGUGAGGAGGACCCAAGGAAAGGGCCCAGCAAGACGUGGAUGAGGAGCCAUAGAUGAUCUACUUUAUAGUUUGCAAAGGGCUGGCAGCCUCCCUUAGCUACUGCCGAGACUUUGGAUCAUUCCAGCUAUAGCUAAGCACUUCUUUUGGUGAAGUCUGCAAGAUUCAAGGAUUGUGUACUCCUUGAAAGCACAUAUUAUCUCUCAGAGAUGUUAAGAAAAUACACAUCCUAAUACUGAUGUUUUUAUUUUCUAGGAAGUAUUGGGUCACAAUCAAUUCUAGUGAUAAACACUCUGCGUCUUUACAAAUAAAUACUCAGUGUUUUCCCUGGAACUAAUGUCUUUGUUCUUUCCUUGUACUUUGUACCCAUGCUUCCUAUUUUCCUUUGUUUUACCAAGUAGGCAGUGGACAGAAGGGACCAUUUUGUUGGGUCACAAAGGUAGCAAAAGAAAUAUACAGACUUAGGAAAAGUCAAGAUACAAUCUCUUACAGAUAGUUGAAGUACAAGGACAUCCUUGCAAAGCCUGGCACAAAUAACAAUAACUUUCUCAUGAGCAGACUCCCCAGCCCCAUUGUCCUACAUGUGGAGAAAAGGAAGGUCCUGCUGCUCACAGCUCUGAAAGUCUGUCCUGUGUGUGAUCACCACGUGGAUUCAGAGAGUGAGCUGGACAAGGUGUAUAAUCUGGACAGCUCCCAUCAUAGUCCACAGAACUGGUGCAUCCCAACCUUUGUCCUGGAGCUUCGUAACCCAAACCUCAGGUUUCAAAGAUGAAGAGGUACAGAUGAUUUUAGAAGACAUUGAAGCUUGUGUCAGGAUCACAAAACCUCAGAGUUAGAAAACAUUGAGAAGUCAUCUGGGACCCCUGCUGCGUUGUCCUAGUUUCUUGACAGAUGGUCACGAAGCGUUGGUUGGAACGGGUCUGGUGGCAAGGACACAGCCCUGUUGUUCCUUAUUUCUGACACAUCCUGGGGGCGGCAUCCUCCAUGGACUACCUCCUCCCAACCUCCUGAAUCACGUACUGUGUCCUCCAGCUCCAGAGCCUGAAAUCGUCACUCUUCCUUACUGGCAGGAGUAUCCUGAGCAAGUGUUUUAGCUAUUCUGUGCCUUAGUGUCCUCAUUGGUGAAACGGGGAUAAUAAUAGAAAAUGCAUCAUAGGAUUGUUGAGAGAAUUAACUCACGUAACUCAUGUAAAGUGUUCGGAACAGUACAGUAAGCACAGAAUAGAUAUUAAUCAUUAUCACAGAGAACACACAGUUCUACAAAUUUGUACACAUAUUUUCUUUCCUCCUUCUCAUCAAACACAUUCUUCCAGUCUCUUUCAGAAGGACCCACUGGUUCUCUUGAUAGAAAUACAUCUUGCAGGUCUUAUAAAACCAUUGCUCUCAAACUUUGACAAUA